rnacentral:snRNA from 1 species
AGCUUUGCACAGUGGCAGUAUCAUAGCCAAUGAGGCUGAUCUGAGGCGUGAUUAUUGCUAAUUGAAAAUUUUUUCUAAGUAGCAGGUGCUUAAACAUCAGACCUUGCUGUAUCCUCACUUGGGAG